GGGGUGGUUUUAUGUGCCAGGUCCUGGGGAGGGACAGACACUGCGGAGAGGUGGGUUUUAUGGGCCAGGUCCUGGGGAGGGACAGACACUGCAGAGAGGUGGGUUUUAUGGGCCAGGUCCUGGGGAGGGACAGACACUGCAGAGAGGUGGGUUUUAUGGGCCAGGUCCUGGGGAGGGACAGACACUGCGGAGAGGUGGGUAUUAUGGGCCAAGUCCUGGGGAGGGACAGACACUGCUGAGAGGUGGGUUUUAUGGGCCAGGUCCUGGGGAGGGACAGACUCUGCUGAGAGGUGGGUUUUAUGGGCCAGGUCCUGGGGAGGGACAGAUACUGCGGAGAGGUGGGUUUUAUGGGCCAGGUCCUGGGGAGGGACAGACACUGCGGAGAGGUGGGUUUUAUGUGCCAGGUCCUGGGGAGGGACAGGCACUGCUGAGAGGUGGGUUUUAUGUGCCAGGUCCUGGGGAGGGACAGGCACUGCUGAGAAGUGGGUUUUAUGGGCCAUGUCCUGGGGAGGGACAGACACUGCAGAGAGGUGGGUUUUAUGGGCCUGUCUUCACGCCAAUGUGUAA